CCCACUGCUAAGAGCUGGAUAACUCAACAUUUCAGCUGUCUUUGGGAACCAAUUAAGGCAAACUUUCCAAGUCAACUGUCAUGCAAUAAUAAUGGCUACAUUUUGGACGGGAGAGAAAAAAAAGGUGUGUUUGAUUUCUGGGAGAACUACAAAGGCAAAGAUUUUGCCUAUUUGGACAGAAAAUAAGCCCAUGUGUCAUCUACAAAGAUUCAUGAAGUGACAUGAAAGCAGCAGACUAACACUUCAUAUUUAUUACAUUUCCUGUGCGUCAUAACCCCUACAAAGGCAUUGCUCAAUUGAAAUGAAUCAGUACCAAGCAAAAAAACACGAGUUUUCUUCAAUAUAGAUCCUUUUCAUUAGUCCAUAGUGUUGCACUGUUAAACUUCAAGCUGCUUUCUGCUUUCGAAAAACUUACUGGCAACAGGGGGUAAAUGGUAUUUUUUCCAAGCACAGAAGUGUAUUUAGCAGAGAUACAGCAAACGAAGCGUAAAUAUCCUCUCCAAUAUGAGGCCCUAGCAACAUUGACAGACAAAGACAUUGAGAAACAAACUUCUUGGGUUUCUCCCAGCAGGGAUGUCAAACUGGCGGCCCGCAGGCCAGAUGCGCCACGCACAGGCCACGCCCACCCCAUCUCCGCGAAGGGAAAAAAAGUCACGAUACGUCACAUGAUGGCAACGUGAUGCUGCUGCAAGUUUGACCCCCGUGUCUUACAGGUAAAAUAAUGUCAUGUGGGGGUCCUUGGUGCUCUCUGAGCUUGGUUGUUUCCUUUCAGACGUUUCAUUACCAAACUAGGUGACAUCAUCAGUGCUAGUAGGGAAUGGGGUUUGCUCUCAUUUUAUAUAUUAGUGGCUUGCCCUGUCAGUGUUAGUGGGAGUGAUCUUGAUGGUUCCUUGAUUGGGCUAUUGUUCACUGUUAGCUACCGUGUUUUCCCAAAAAUAAGACCCUGUCUCAUGUUUUUUUGAACCCCGAAAUAAGCGCUUGGCCUUAUUUUCGAGGAGGUCUUAUUAUUUUGGGGCACGGGGCUCCUCUUACUGUCUUACCUGAUUUCC